UCCUCAUUUUGAAAUCACUGUUCACCUCAAACGCUACUUUCUCUCUCCUUCCGCCCCUCUCUUUCUCCUUCCGCCUCCGUCUCUCUCUCUCUCUCUCCUUUCUCCCAUGGCGUCCGACAACUUCCAUCCUCUUUCUCCUCCUCAUCUCCGUCACGAUCUGCACCAUCUCUGGUACUCUCUCUUUUCUUGCUCCUCUAAAAAUCUUUAAUUUCCCUAAUUUUGAUUUCCAAAACCCUAAUUAUUGAUUUAUUUUUACAACCUACAACAUCAAUGGAGGCGCGGUUGGUUUUGGCUGGUCGGAGAAGGAGAUACAAGCAGGUGAAGGUGACAGUAGGAGUUUCGCUGAGUUUAGACGCGGUGGUGGCGAGUUCUGCCUCUCUCUUUCCAUGGCGACAAUUGUUCUGACUCUUGAAGUUAUGUUUAGGUUUAUUUGGAAUUUGUCGAAAAUAUGGACGAUUUCAGGUUGUCUGGUUAGGAUUCCGUGAAAAAUUUAAAGGUCAAAGAUCCUCGCGAGAUGUAAUAUAGGCCUUGUUGUCGUCUCCAGAUGCAGCUAGGGUUCCGACGAGAAGUUAGGGUUCCGGUGAAUGAAAUAAUGCUAGACCUAGUUACACAGAUCGUGAUUCUAGCGUGUCUCAUAUAGCAUCAUCAUCUUCGGAAGAAGAAAGCAAGGUAAGCAUAUGAUAAAUCAUAAGGUGUAUGAUUUCAGGAGGAUCUCCUCCUUUUAGUUUCGGCGAUUCGGUGCGGCCUGGUGGUCUGUGGUAGCAGCUCUGUCGCCGCCUCUGCUGAUGUUACCUAGUUCAUGUUGUUGGUUGUUGUUGUUGUUGAUGCAAUAUUUGAAGAGUAGUGUCAGCUCAUGUUGCUUUGGUGGUGUUGUUAUUUGUUUUAGUUAUGAUUAAUUCAUUUUAGUUAUAAUCCCAAUAUGUAUUGUAAAUGUAAAACAAUUUUAGUUAAGAAUAAUUUCGUCUUAGUUAAACUUAGAAAAAUUGUUUGAUUACAUUAUUUUAUAUUUAAGUCAUUUUUGUUUUA